rnacentral:misc_RNA from 1 species
GAUGAAGAACGUAGCGAAAUGCGAUACGUAAUGUGAAUUGCAAAUUCAGUGAAUCAUCGAGUCUUUGAACGCACAUUGCGCCCCCUGGUAUUCCGGGGGGCAUGCCUGUCCGAGCGUCAUUGCUGCCCUCAAGCACGGCUUGUGUGUUGGGCCCCGUCCUCCGAUCCCGGGGGACGGGCCCGAAAGGCAGCGGCGGCACCGCGUCCGGUCCUCGAGCGUAUGGGGCUUUGUCACCCGCUCUGUAGGCCCGGCCGGCGCUUGCCGAUCAACCCAAAUUUUUUAUCCAGGUUGACCUCGGAUCAGGUAGGGAUACCCGCUGAACUUAAGCGUAUCAAUAAGCGGAGGA